ensembl:lncRNA
CCCCGCGCCCUGAUUCCGACUUGGGCCCUGCCCCGUUCCUUCCAGUCCCUCUCAAGUCCAGGUCUUGAGGAGCGUGGCUUUGGGGAGACUGGGGGCGAGCUGGUCCUUCAGACUCGAGGGCCGUCCGGGGUGGGAGUCCGGGGUGCUAAGACCCGGGCGCCAAGCAAGAUGCUUGGGAUCUUUUCCGCUGAAACACGGCAGAAAUGCAGCGGAAAGUGCAGCAGCUGAAUACACACACAGACGAGAAACCGGGGAAAUCUGAAAAAGACUGGGUGUGUCUGCCUCAGUAACUUGAUUGUGAUCUCGGAAGAAGUUCUGACUGGGGAAAAGUGGAUCAGAUUCUGGUAAAUUCAUUUUUGCUGAAAGCUACAUAAGAUUAAGCAAGCGUAGUCAGCCUCACCAGUACAGAACAGGCGUUUCUUAUGACAUGCUGCUUCAAAAGAGAAGCCUAAAAGACGGGGACUGUUGGAUAUUCAUAAUGAAAUUGGGACCCCCUCGGCGCAUAAAGAAUUCACUUCUUCUAUUCCUUAUAGAAAUUCUGUGAACCCGCUCUGUUCUUAACAACAGAAUUGGCUUGUUGAUACCUUUUGGAUGGGUGUGAGCAAAAGCGAGGACAGGGGAUGCUAAACUUGCCACUCGAUGGAGAAGCCACGUGAACAAAGGUCCCCACUGAAAUGGCCUGUGUAUCUGGCUAAAGAAAGGGCAUGAGGCUACACCCGUCCCCUCCCCGAAGCAUGCCAGCUGUCACACACCACUAGAGGCAUGCCACAAAAGGGUGACAGGGGAGACACAGAGUGAUCGACUUUACACGGAGUGAUGACUUUACACCUACUAAUCGGUAGGGGGAGAUUGACAGUUUAAUGACCUCCAAGGCUGCCUUUUAUUUAGCCAAGGACAAAAUAACUGUUCUAAAGUUCGUGCCCUGAUGACAGGAUCCCUCCCAAGAGCUGAAAUGCUGACAUCUCAGUUCCCGGUCUCCCUCCGCACUCUUCCGUCUGUCCGGGGACCAGCCAACAUUUCCACGGGGUGUAGAUGCACUGAUGUUUACAGAUAUCGGUGUAAAGUUUUGCAGAAGGUUGUCUAAAGAAGGGGAGUGAAGUGACCCGUGGAUGGGGGUGCAGAGCUCAAUGUGGAGAUCAGGCCCGGGGGCAAAACGGAGCUGCUGGAGAGCUCGCGGAGCGCCGGAGAGGCAGAAACGGAAGAGACAGAGUCCAAAGGCCAUCUGGGGGCUGGAUUCAGGAGAACUGAAGGAGUAUUGAUUGGGAAAGCGAGCGUAUGAGACCACGAAGCAGAAGCGGCUCUGGAGCCUAAGGGCUGAGAAGCCAGGAACAUGCCAGGCGAACUCCUGAGUCGGGACGUGGGGAAGAACAGACCCCUUCUUGAGUCCGAGGGGUUCAAACAACAAAAACCUCAUUUGCUUCACGAACAAAGCAACUGCAAGCGGAAACAAACACGGCCGAUGAACGGAAAUAAAAAUCCCGGUUGAGGAGUUCCUGUCGUGGCGUAGUAGGAACAAGUCCGACUAGGAACCAUGAGGUUGCGGGUUCGAUCCCUGGCCUCGCACAGUGGGUUAAGGAUCCGGCGUUGCCCUGAGCUGUGGUAUAGUUUGCACACGUGGCUCGGAUCUGGCUUGGCUGUGGCUGUGGCUGUGGCUGUGGUGUAGGCCGGCAGCUGUAGCUCUGAUUUGACCCCUAGCCUGGGACUCCAUAGGCUGUGGGUGCGGCCCUAGAAAGAAAAAAAAAAAAAAAAA